rnacentral:rRNA from 1 species
AGUCGAACGAGAAAGUCCCUUCGGGGAUGAGUACAGUGGCGCACGGGUGAGUAACACGUGAGUAAUCUACCUCUUAGUUGGGGACAACAUCGCGAAAGUGAUGCUAACACCGAAUAAGAUCUCUUUAUGGGAGCAUAGAGAGAUAAAAGAUGGCCUCUCCGUGGAAGCUAUCGCUAAGAGAUGAGCUCGCGGACCAUUAGCUAGUUGGUAGGGUAAUGGCCUACCAAGGCGACGAUGGUUAGCCGACCUGAGAGGGUGAUCGGCCACACUGGCACUGAGACACGGGCCAGACUCCUACGGGAGGCAGCAGUGGGGAAUAUUGCGCAAUGGGGGCAACCCUGACGCAGCAACGCCGUGUGCGGGAUGAAGCCUUUCGGGGUGUAAACCGCUGUCAGGAAGAAUGAAAGAGUCGUGGGUAAAUAAUCCAGGAUUCUGACGGUACUUCCAAAGGAAGCCCCGGCUAACUCCGUGCCAGCAGCCGCGGUAAUACGGAGGGGGCAAGCGUUGUUCGGAAUUAUUGGGCGUAAAGGGCGCGUAGGCGGUAAGGGAAGUCAAACGUGAAAGCCCUCGGCUUAACCGAGGAAUGUCGUUUGAAACUCCUUUACUUGAG